rnacentral:lncRNA from 1 species
UAAAUAAUUAUUUCAUAUUAAUGAGUAGAAAACAAAGCUAGUAUAAUACAAAAUUCUGCAUAGCAACUAAGAAAAUAAAAGAAAUAGAAAAGGUAGAGAGGUUGCAAAAUUAUAUGGAUACCAUAAGUGACACGUUGGAAGGUUAAAAAAUGAGAAUAAGGGAAAUAAAAAAAAGAAAUAUUAUAAAAAUAAUACGUACUUAAAAUAUUCGAAAAUAAAAAAAUAAAAAUAAAAGAUUAGAAGAGUUACAUUACCUUAUAAUUAUAUAGUAUAAUUACUACUACUUCUCACUUUUUUGAGAAUUAAAGAGUGCAAUUAGUCUCUUAAUUAUAUCAAAUUCUAUGUUGAUCAAGUAAUUAUUUGGCCAGACAAACCCGCUAAACUUUGUAAUUACACCUAACUAGACCCAAAUCAAAUUCCUAGGUGAUUUUCCAAACAUGAUGUUAAUGUGGAUCCAAAUUAAAAAUCACGGAAACAUAGCUGCUCCUAGCCAUUGUUCUAAAAUGCGCGGGCGUGAAAUGAAUGGUUUAAUCUGAUAUGGGGCGAUGCUUAAGCCUCGAAGCAUUCUGCUUAAGCUGAUGGAUCUUUAGUUUUUAAUAUUUUAUAUAUUAAUAUAAUAAAAG